CGCCUGGAACGGUGAGUGGAUGAAAGCUCCGGCGGCAUAGGAUGGGCCUGCGGCGUAUCAGGUUGUAGGGGGUGUAACGUACCCUCUAGCCCUCUACGCGUACGGGUGUUGGGAGACAUAGCCCGGAGAUGGAUUCUGAGACACGAAUCCAGACCCUACGGGGUGCAGCAGGCGCGAAAACUUGGCAAUGCGAGAAAUCGUGACCAGGGAACUCCAAGUGCAUCGGGUAAGACCGGUGCUUUUCUUGACUCUAAAUAGGUCUUGGAAUAAGGGGUGGGUAAGGACGGUGCCAGCCGCCGCGGUAAUACCGGCGCCUCAAGUGGUAGUCGCUUUUAUUGGGCCUAAAACGUCCGUAGCCGGUCUGAUACAUUCGUGGGUAAAUCAACCAGCUUAACUGGUUGAAUUCUGCGAGGACGGUCAGACUUGGGACCGGGAGAGGUGUGGGGUACGCUCAGGGUAGGGGUAAAAUCCUGUCAUCCUGAGCGGACCACCUGUUGCGAAGGCGCCACACUAGAACGGAUCCGACGGUCAGGGACGAAGCCUAGGGGCACGAACCGGAUUAGAUACCCGGGUAGUCCUAGGUGUAAACGCUGUGGACUUGAUGUUGGGGGUGCUCCGAGCACUCUCAGUGUCGAAGCGAAGGUGAUAAGUCCACUGCCUGGGAAGUACGGUCGCAAGGCUGAAACUUAAAGGAAUUGGCGGGGGAGCACCGCAACCUGAGGAUUGUGCGGUUUAAUUGGAUUCAACGCCGGGA
rnacentral:rRNA from 1 species